rnacentral:rRNA from 1 species
CAAGUCGAGCGAUGAAACUACUUCGGUAGUGAAUUAGCGGCGAACGGGUGAGGAACACGUGAGGAAUCUGCCUUCAACACUGGGAUAACUCCGGGAAACCGGGGCUAAUACCGGAUAUGAGCUCUGAUCGCAUGGUCGGGGCUGUAAAGUUUUUCGGUUGGAGAUGACCUCGCGGCCUAUCAGCUUGUUGGUGAGGUAAUGGCUCACCAAGGCGACGACGGGUAGCCGGCCUGAGAGGGCGACCGGCCACACUGGGACUGAGACACGGCCCAGACUCCUACGGGAGGCAGCAGUGGGGAAUAUUGGGCAAUGGAGGAAACUCUGACCCAGCGACGCCGCGUGCGGGAUGAAGGCCUUCGGGUUGUAAACCGCUUUCAGUAGGGAAGAAGCGAAAGUGACGGUACCUACAGAAGAAGCACCGGCUAACUAUGUGCCAGCAGCCGCGGUAAUACAUAGGGUGCAAGCGUUGUCCGGAAUUAUUGGGCGUAAAGAGCUCGUAGGUGGUUUGAUACGUCGGGUGUGAAAUUCAGGGGCUCAACCCCUGACCUGCAUUCGAUACGGUCAAGCUAGAGUUUGGUAGGGGAGACUGGAAUUCCUGGUGUAGCGGUGGAAUGCGCAGAUAUCAGGAGGAACACCGAUGGCGAAGGCAGGUCUCUGGGCCAAUACUGACACUGAGGAGCGAAAGCGUGGGGAGCGAACAGGAUUAGAUACCCUGGUAGUCCACGCCGUAAACGGUGGGCGCUAGUUGUGCGAACCUUCCACGGUUUGUGCGACGCAGCUAACGCAUUAAGCGCCCCGCCUGGGGAGUACGAUCGCAAGAUUAAAACUCAAAGGAAUUGACGG